AGCGAACGUUUGCGGCGGGCCUAACACAUGCAAGUCGAACGGGCUAGCAAUAGUCAGUGGCGCACGGGUGCGUAACACGUGGGUAAUCAACCCUUCAGCUCGGGAUAACGCCUUGAAAGGGGCGCUAAUACCGGAUGCGACGCGAGGAGCCUCGGCGCUUCGCGGGAAAGAUUCGCAAGGAUCACUGAAGGACGAGCCUGCGGCCCAUCAGCUAGUUGGUGAGGUAAGGGCUCACCAAGGCGAAGACGGGUAGCUGGUCUGAGAGGAUGAUCAGCCACACUGGAACUGAGACACGGUCCAGACUCCUACGGGAGGCAGCAGUGGGGAAUAUUGCGCAAUGGGCGAAAGCCUGACGCAGCCACGCCGCGUGAGCGAUGAAGGCCU
rnacentral:rRNA from 1 species